CAUCUUCUCCAGGAUAGAAGGAU
rnacentral:misc_RNA from 1 species